AAGCCGUGAUGGGGGCAUCUUCGAAGGAGAUCCUUAAAUCUUUCAUAAGCUUCAAAUAGAGUCUCCGAUUAUCCUUGUUUGAAAGGCUGAAAUUUCAUGCCUUAGCUU